AGUGAACGCUGGCGGUAGGCCUAACACAUGCAAGUUGAACGGCAGCACAGUAAGAGCUUGCUCCUACGGGUGGCGAGUGGCGGACGGGUGAGGAAUACAUCGGAAUCUACUUUUUCGUGGGGGAUAACGUAGGGAAACUUACGCUAAUACCGCAUACGACCUACGGGUGAAAGCAGGGGAUCUUCGGACCUUGCGCGAUUGAAUGAGCCGAUGUCGGAUUAGCUAGUUGGCGGGGUAAAGGCCCACCAAGGCGACGAUCCGUAGCUGGUCUGAGAGGAUGAUCAGCCACACUGGAACUGAGACACGGUCCAGACUCCUACGGGAGGCAGCAGUGGGGAAUAUUGGACAAUGGGCGCAAGCCUGAUCCAGCCAUACCGCGUGGGUGAAGAAGGCCUUCGGGUUGUAAAGCCCUUUUGUUGGGAAAGAAAAGCAGCAGGUUAAUACCCCGCUGUUCUGACGGUACCCAAAGAAUAAGCACCGGCUAACUUCGUG
rnacentral:rRNA from 1 species